GAGGGGUGAGGAGCAGGCCAGCGACUGGACUCUUGCUUUUGAGUGGAAAAAGUCCAAAUUAUAAACUUUUUUUUUCAGUUUACCCUAAAUAAACUAUGCAAUUUGUCCUUUUUAUUUCUCUAUAUACAAGUUGAAUUUUAAUUUGAGACUUUGCAGCGUGGUAGUGGAUAUCAUAAUCUAUAUUAAAAAUAUUUUGUGAAAUUUUUAUAUAAUUUUGUAUCUCAAGGAUAAAUUUGUUAUUAAAUGUCAUAUCCUAUCAAAAUAAUAAUAAAAAAUUAUGAUAUAUUUUCUAACAUGUCUUAUGAUGUUUGCUAUCAUCUUGGAAAAUUUUAAGAGUAAAUUGACCCAAAUGGCAUAAUUUAGGGGGUAAAAUGAACUACAAAAUACUUUAGGGGAGUAAUUUGUACUUUUUCCUCUUGUAUCCUUAUUCUCCCUAUUAUCAUAUAUCGG
rnacentral:lncRNA from 1 species